rnacentral:rRNA from 1 species
GUCCGACGGUACAGGGUGAUAGUCCCGUACACCAAAAUGCACAGGUUGUGAACUCGAAGAGUAGGGCGGGACACGUGGUAUCCUGUCUGAAUAUGGGGGGACCAUCCUCCAAGGCUAAAUACUCCUGACUGACCGAUAGUGAACCAGUACCGUGAGGGAAAGGCGAAAAGAACCCCGGCGAGGGGAGUGAAAAAGAACCUGAAACCGUGUACGUACAAGCAGUGGGAGCCUCUUUAUGGGGUGACUGCGUACCUUUUGUAUAAUGGGUCAGCGACUUAUAUUCUGUAGCAAGGUUAACCGUAUAGGGGAGCCGAAGGGAAACCGAGUCUUAACUGGGCGUUAAGUUGCAGGGUAUAGACCCGAAACCCGGUGAUCUAGCCAUGGGCAGGUUGAAGGUUGGGUAACACUAACUGGAGGACCGAACCGACUAAUGUUGAAAAAUUAGCGGAUGACUUGUGGCUGGGGGUGAAAGGCCAAUCAAACCGGGAGAUAGCUGGUUCUCCCCGAAAGCUAUUUAGGUAGCGCCUCGUGAAUUCAUCUUCGGGGGUAGAGCACUGUUUCGGCUAGGGGGUCAUCCCGACUUACCAACCCGAUGCAAACUGCGAAUACCGAAGAAUGUUAUCACGGGAGACACACGGCGGGUGCUAACGUCCGUCGUGAAGAGGGAAACAACCCAGACCGCCAGCUAAGGUCCCAAAGUCAUGGUUAAGUGGGAAACGAUGUGGGAAGGCACAGACAGCCAGGAUGUUGGCUUAGAAGCAGCCAUCAUUUAAAGAAAGCGUAAUAGCUCACUGGUCGAGUCGGCCUGCGCGGAAGAUGUAACGGGGCUAAACCAUGCACCGAAGCUGCGGCAGCGACACUAUGUGUUGUUGGGUAGGGGAGCGU